rnacentral:rRNA from 1 species
GGAUAUUGGACAAUGGGCGGGAGCCUGAUCCAGCCAUCCCGCGUGCAGGACGAAGGCCCUCCGGGUCGUAAACUGCUUUUGCAGGGGGAGAAACGCGCCGCCUUGGCGGCGCCUGACGGUACCCUGCGAAGAAGCACCGGCUAACUCCGUGCCAGCAGCCGCGGUAAUACGGAGGGUGCGAGCGUUAUCCGGAAUCACUGGGUUUAAAGGGUGCGUAGGCGGCCCGUUAAGUCAGGGGUGAAAUCCCGCCGCCCAACGGCGGAACUGCCCCUGAUACUGGGGGGCUCGGAUGGGCGCGAGGCGGGCGGAACGCGGCAUGUAGCGGUGAAAUGCUUAGAUAUGCCGCAGAACACCGAUUGCGUAGGCAGCCCGCCAGAGCCGCAUCGACGCUGAGGCACGAAAGCGUGGGGAGCGAACAGG